rnacentral:rRNA from 1 species
AUGGCUGACGACGAAGCCGUCAAACAGAAGGCCUCGUACGAUGCCGAGGAAAGUGCAGCGGUGAUCGGCUUUCGGCUUGGGACUUGUCCUCGCGGUGGUCUCGAGGUGGCGGCAGAUGAGGCACUGACGUGCGGGGACAGCUUACUCCACGCGACGGUGCGGCCCCUCUCUUCUCUUCCAUCCUCAUUUGCAUUUGCGCACCCCACCUUGGACGCACAGCACAGGCUCACAGCACCCAUUCCAUCCUCUUCAUGCACGGCUUCAAGAAGUUGUACAACUCCAACAAGGUACCCCUCCACAGCCGCAAACCCUCUCCCCUCUGCUGGACAACUCCCUCCCUGUCAUGCCCCCCACCCUGAGAGCGAGCUAACGAUUCGUCGAUCGCAGCCGGUGAUCGUCGACGCGCUCAACUCGCUCGACCUACUGCGCCCGCGCCGCGCCACAGUCAGCAUCAACGCCGUGGCGCCCCCGCCGGGCGCCGCGGGCCCCUCCGCGGCCCUGCUCUCCACAGAGGCCGUGAAGCGCGACAUCCAGGACCUCGGCUGGCGCGAGUGCCCCGUCGGCUCCGUCCUCUCCGUCCACGCCGGGGCGGCCGCCUCCUCCCCCGUGCCGCUCGCCACCAUCCGCCCGGGCUCCGCGGCCGUCGUCCAGCGCGUCUCCCCUCCGAGCACACUCAGCGCCUCCUCCAGCCCGUGUCCCGCGGCGCCCGGCGUGGACGGGACCAGGAAGCGGACCCUGAGGGGCCAGGGGAAGGCGGCGACCAAGAGGAAGGAGAGGCGCAUGAGGGAGCUGCUCAGGCUCCCGUCCGUCGAGGUCCAGGACAUGCCCGCCGACGCCGCCGCCCAGGGCAGCAGCGGCGGCAUUGCCUCUGCUGUGUGA